GAUGAAGAACGCAGCGAAAUGCGAUAAGUAAUGUGAAUUGCAGAAUUCAGUGAAUCAUCGAAUCUUUGAACGCACCUUGCACCCUUUGGCAUUCCGAAGGGUAUGCUCGUUUGAGUGUCAUUGUACUCUCACACUCCAAUCUUUGGAUUGGGAGCAGUGGACUUGGGUGUUGCUGCUUACUGUGGCUCACCUCAAAUCGAUUCGUGCACCUCUUGGUUGGACAUAGUACGGCGUGAUAAGUGUCUUCGCCGGCACCUCAGUAGAGGGUGGCUGAUCAGGAGCUCUGUGCUUCAAACCGUCCUCGGACAACAACUGACAACUUGACCUCAAAUCGAGUAGGACUACCCGCUGAACUUAAGCAUAUCAAUAAGCGGAGGA
rnacentral:misc_RNA from 1 species